rnacentral:rRNA from 1 species
CACGUAGGGGCCAAGCGUUGUCCGGAUUUAUUGGGCGUAAAGAGCUCGUAGGCGGUUGGGUAAGUCGGGUGUGAAAACUCCAGGCUCAACUUGGAAGACGCCACCCGAUACUGCUCUGACUUGAGUUCGGUAGGGGAGUGGGGAAUUCCUGGUGUAGCGGUGAAAUGCGCAGAUAUCAGGAGGAACACCGGUGGCGAAGGCGCCACUCUGGGCCGAAACUGACGCUGAGGAGCGAAAGCGUGGGUAGCAAACAGG